rnacentral:rRNA from 1 species
UGAACGCUAGCGGGAUGCCUUACACAUGCAAGUCGAACGGCAGCACGGACUUCGGUCUGGUGGCGAGUGGCGAACGGGUGAGUAAUGUAUCGGAACGUGCCCAGUAGCGGGGGAUAACUACGCGAAAGCGUAGCUAAUACCGCAUACGCCCUACGGGGGAAAGCAGGGGAUCGCAAGACCUUGCACUAUUGGAGCGGCCGAUAUCGGAUUAGCUAGUUGGUGGGGUAACGGCUCACCAAGGCGACGAUCCGUAGCUGGUUUGAGAGGACGACCAGCCACACUGGGACUGAGACACGGCCCAGACUCCUACGGGAGGCAGCAGUGGGGAAUUUUGGACAAUGGGGGAAACCCUGAUCCAGCCAUCCCGCGUGUGCGAUGAAGGCCUUCGGGUUGUAAAGCACUUUUGGCAGGAAAGAAACGUCGCGGGUUAAUACCUCGCGAAACU